UAGCAUCUGCAUUAGCUAGCUAUAGCUGCUGUAUACGGGGAAUGGGUUAGCCUAGCGAUUUUUAGUACUUGCACUUGGUCCUAUGAACAUCAACACCGGCAAAUUCAGAUUUGUAGUACUGCAAAUUAAAAUUGUUGACAAAUUUUCCAUUUCAAUAUUUUGUCAAAUUUCACAAAGUCCAUUCCCAGAUAUGUACGAACUUCAGCAAUGGAGGCAAGUAAGGUUUAUCACUUUCUAUGGCAAUUUACUUGAGUUAAAUUAUUUGCUCUAUAAAAACAUAUGGUUCUCACUGUACCAUAAUCAUCUUGCUAGAUAUGCCUCAUGCUGUCCUUUAUAUUACUUAUUUGCAAGGAAUUUAAGCAUUGACAAUUAUUUAUGAACGUUGAACCAUGAAAGAACUGAAUUAUUUUUGUUCAGGGGUGGGUUUGCCCCUGUACAUUUAUUUCAAGAUCAGUGUUCUACAGCGUUUGUCAAAUUCAGGACUGGCGCUGGAAGCUGUAGGUGGAGGGAAGACCAGGAAUGGUGCAGCUGCUGAAGGGUAAGACAAUGGAAUACACAUAUUGAUGGCUUGCUUGGAUUGUUUAGAUUGUUUAGAAUGACACGGUCAGCGACUCAUCGUACAGAUCUAAAGUAAUCCAUACAGAUGUGUUCAUUCUGACUGGCUGUUAAGAAAGCAUUCUCGGCCACUAGGACUAGUCAGGAUGUGUAUUACAUGUGGCUGGCUUUUGGGGUUGGGAGUAAUAACUAUUGUAAUUAGUUCUAUCAAAACAGCCCACUAUGUACUGUGCUGUAAAAGUGCAUAUAAAAUACCCUAUUGACAUCUGAGUGAAGUGUUGGACUGCAUUAAUGGGGAGAAAACAAAUGUCCAGUGUGCCAAAGGGUCACGUGUGUUCCCGAAGGGACUGAGGCGACGCAGUCGGAGGUCCCUGCGGUGGCGGUCAGCGGGAGGUGUCAGGACCAACUAGCUCCUCGUCCAGGAAAGGGGAAUUCUUCAGACCGUUCUUCAAAGAGUAUGAUGACCGAACAGUUGAUCUACAACGAUGGCCUACUCCCCAUCCACCCUGAGGAUCCCUGGUUACACCUACAAUCCAAUCAACCCCAGACAUAACCACUCGGAGCUCAACAACUCCUACAACUCCUCCUGCCUCCUACACACCAUACUGUUACCACUUUACCAUUUUAACUUUAAAAAAAAGUACUGUAAUUCACACCAUGUUGUAGGAAAAGCAUGUUUAGCUCAAUGAUUUAUACAUUCUAUUUCUGUGACCCCAACUAUUGUAUUUCUAACCCAGUUACCUUGUAACCCUCUUUCUAAGGGAGCGACUAAAGGGACAAAGCUGGAGCAAACCUGAGCUUAACAAUCUUUCUAAUCUUUCUUUCAAAUGUCCUAAAUUGAAACAUAUAAAAUGCCUAAAGUAACUUGUCUAACAAAACAAAAAGCCAACCUAAUACCCAAACUUAACCAUCUAACUAAAGAUCUCAAAUGCCUAAACUCUUACCUUAACCUAGUACCUAAACCGAACCAUUUAACUAAACAUCUCAAAGGCCUAAACUCGCUUACCUCAACCUAACCUAAUACCCAAACUUAACCAUCUAACUGAAGAGCUCAAACACCUAAACUCUUACCUUAACCUAGUACCUAAACUGAACCAUCGAACUAAACAUCUCAAAGGCCUAAACUCGCUUACCUCAACCUAACCUAAUACCCAAACUUGACCAUCUAACUUAAAAGCCCAAAUGCUUAAACUCUUACCCUAACCUGGUACCUAAACUUGACAAUCUAACUAAGCAUCUCUAAUAACUAAACUCUUUCCUAAUCCCUAAACAAUCUUUAAUACAAUCACUAAUGCCUAAACUUAAACAAACACCAAUAAUAAAAGUUAACCAUCCUUAAUCUUAAACCCAAACCAGACUUGUCCCUGGGUCGCUCCACUUUGUUUCUUUAAAGGCAUCUCUUUUCCCCUGCAUCUGUGUUUUAUUCCUUGAGGACUUCAGGUGGGGUGCCAUACAGUGUUGCAUGGGUUCUUGGGUCAAUUGUGGCACCCAUUGCACUCCUAACCAUCCCUGGAAGAAGGGAUCCCCUCCACUGCGUUUCUUCUCAAGAUUUCUUCCUUGCUGAUUCAAGGGAGUUUUUUUCUUGCCCGUGUGGGGGCAUGGGUAAAGGGGGGUGUCACAAAUAUUUGGCCUGUUAAGCCCUUUGAGACUGUAAUGGUGAUUAAGGGCUAUACAAAUAAAAUUGAAUUGAAUAAAGAUACUUCAUCUUUACAGAUUUUGUUUUGGGGAAUUGGGACAGAAGAGCAGCUUAAGCAUCCUUACUGGUGAAUCUGAUCUGACGAUAUCAAUCAUAGGACUAUGAAGCUGCAGAGUUCUUCCAAGAAAGGGUUCCAAUCCAGGAUAGCUUUUAACACACUUUAUUUGUUAAAGUAUUUUGGUAUGGUAACUACGGAGCAAAAGGAGGUGGAAGCGUGUUGAACACGUGCUGAGCGUCUCCCUGCUGAUCAAAAACAUUAACCCUUUGUCUGGCAGCAGCUAGAAGAUUCUGAAGUCCAACUUCUCUGUCGAGAUUGAACUGAAAUGCAAUGCACAACAUGCAAUUUGUCCUUAUCUCAAUUUUUAAAACUUUUUAUAUUUUUUAUUAUUACUAUUUAUUGUGCUGCGCCCUCUCGCUCUCUCUCUCUCGAUCUCUCUCUCGAUCUCUCUCUCUGUAUUAAUACUGUACUUGACUUGGGAAGCCCUGCACAAGAAUUCCAAUGUGUUUGAACUGUCUGGUUUAUGCACAAAUGGCGAAUAAAAACCUUUGAACCUUU